AACGAACGCUGGCGGCAUGCCUAACACAUGCAAGUUGAACGAGACCUUCGGGUCUAGUGGCGCACGGGUGCGUAACGCGUGGGAACCUGCCCUUAGGUUCGGAAUAACUCCCCGAAAGGGGUGCUAAUACCGGAUAAUGUCUUCGGACCAAAGAUUUAUCGCCUUUGGAUGGGCCCGCGUUGGAUUAGCUAGUUGGUAGGGUAAAAGCCUACCAAGGCGACGAUCCAUAGCUGGUCUGAGAGGAUGAUCAGCCACACUGGGACUGAGACACGGCCCAGACUCCUACGGGGGGCAGCAGUGGGGAAUAUUGGACAAUGGGCGAAAGCCUGAUCCAGCAAUGCCGCGUGAGUGAUGAAGGCCUUAGGGUUGUAAAGCUCUUUUACCCGGGAUGAUAAUGACAGUACCGGGAGAAUAAGCUCCGGCUAACUCCGUG
rnacentral:rRNA from 1 species